rnacentral:tRNA from 2 species
GGGGAUGUAGCUCUGCUGGGAGAGCGCCGCCGCGGCAGGUCGGAGGCCAGGGGUUCGAGUCCCCUCUUCUCCA